GCACAACUCGCACCGGGAGCGCGGCGCGUCCACGUCCGUAAAACACCCAACUUCUGAAAUGGGACCCUCGGAUCACGUAGGAAUACCCGCUGAAAUUAAGCUUCAAAUANNGGGGNAANNUNCC
rnacentral:rRNA from 1 species